rnacentral:rRNA from 1 species
GNNNCACUUGGGUGGAACCCUGGUUUUUGUGCCUGAANACACGCAAGUNCGAGNCGAAUCGANGGGUAGUCUUGCUCCCUGNNNAUUAGCGGCGGACGGGUGAGUAACACGUGGGCAACCUGCCUAUAAGACUGGGAUAACUUCGGGAAACCGGAGCUAAUACCGGAUACGUUCUUUUCUCGCAUGAGAGAAGAUGGAAAGACGGUUUACUCUGUCACUUAUAGAUGGGCCCGCGGCGCAUUAGCUAGUUGGUGAGGUAAUGGCUCACCAAGGCGACGAUGCGUAGCCGACCUGAGAGGGUGAUCGGCCACACUGGGACUGAGACACGGCCCAGACUCCUACGGGAGGCAGCAGUANGGAAUCUUCCGCANUGGACGAAAGUCUGACGGAGCAACGCCGCGUGAACGAAGAAGGCCUUCGGGUCGUAAAGUUCUGUUGUUAGGGAAGAACAAGUACCAGAGUAACUGCUGGUACCUUGACGGUACCUAACCAGAAAGCCNCGGCUAACUACGUGCCAGCAGCCGCGGUAAUACGUAGGUGGCAAGCGUUG